rnacentral:pre_miRNA from 1 species
CUUAUACUCACUCCGUCCGGAAAUACUUGUCAUCAAAAUGAAUAAAAGAGAAUGUAUCUAGACUUAUUUUAGUUUUAGAUACAUCCCUUUUUGUCCAUUUUGAUGACAAGUAUUUUCGGACGGAGGAAGUACUAA